GGGGAAUAUUGCACAAUGGGCGCAAGCCUGAUGCAGCAACGCCGCGUGAGGGAUGACGGCCUUCGGGUUGUAAACCUCUUUUAGUAGGGAAGAAGCGCAAGUGACGGUACCUGCAGAAAAAGCACCGGCUAACUACGUGCCAGCAGCCGCGGUAAUACGUAGGGUGCAAGCGUUGUCCGGAAUUAUUGGGCGUAAAGAGCUCGUAGGCGGCUUGUCGCGUCUGCCGUGAAAACCCGAGGCUCAACCUCGGGCGUGCGGUGGGUACGGGCAGGCUAGAGUGCGGUAGGGGAGAUUGGAAUUCCUGGUGUAGCGGUGGAAUGCGCAGAUAUCAGGAGGAACACCGAUGGCGAAGGCAGGUCUCUGGGCCACUACUGACGCUGAGAAGCGAAAGCGUGGGGAGCGAAC
rnacentral:rRNA from 1 species